UACGAAGGGGGCUAGCGUUGUUCGGAAUUACUGGGCGUAAAGGGCGCGUAGGCGGCCCUCCAAGUCAGAUGUGAAAGCCCCGGGCUUAACCUGGGAAUUGCAUUUGAGACUGAAGGGCUUGAGUUUCGGAGAGGUGGGUGGAAUUCCCAGUGUAGAGGUGAAAUUCGUAGAUAUUGGGAAGAACACCGGUGGCGAAGGCGGCCCACUGGACGAACACUGACGGCUGAGGCGCGAAAGCGUGGGGAGCAAACAGG
rnacentral:rRNA from 1 species